rnacentral:ncRNA from 1 species
UUCUGAUAAUAGCAAACUUAUUGAAAGAUAAGGACGCAAAGCUAUGGGCCUAAUGGAUAAAUUCCAAUGGUUGCCAGGUUGCCAAA